GGAUGGGUGGCCGAGUGGUUGAAGGCACCGGUCUUGAAAACCGGAAGGCGGGCAACCGCCUCGUGGGUUCGAAUCCCACCCCAUCCGCCA
rnacentral:tRNA from 1 species